AUCUGAACCAAUCAGAACCCAUCUGAGGUUCUGCUCCCCCCGUCAGGUCACAUUAUUUCAACAUCUAAAGCUCCGUAAAAACGACGGAAAUACCCGAAUAAAGUCGAUCCGUGAUUUCAGAGUAGGUCUCCUCCCGGUACAACUGGUCACAGAGUCAUCGUUAACCUGACAUCUCCAUCCCUUCACCGAGGCGGUUCUGGUUCUGAUGGUUCCUCCUCCGGUCUCAGUCCAACAAAAAGUCCAAAUGUGCAAAAUUUCUUUAUUCCCAAAUAAAUGUCAUAAUGUGAACAUACA